rfam:Oryza barthii chromosome 3, whole genome shotgun sequence.
AAAGAGAUAAACCCUGGUUUUCGUAUCCAACGUUUGACCGUCUGUCUUAUUUAAAAAAAUUAUAAAAAAAUUAAAAAGACAAGUCACGUAUAAAAUAUUAAUCAUGUUUUAUCAUCUAACAACAAUAAAAAUACGAAUUAUAAAAAAAUUUUAUAUAAGACGGACAGUCAAAGUUGAACAUAAAAACCUAGAGUUUGACUUUUU